AUGGCGAUGGUGCUUGAUGCAUUUGGAUCCUACCUGGGGGACUUGCUCAGGCAGGUAGCAGAAGAAGAGCUGGGAAUGCUAUUGGGUGUCUCCAGCGGGAUAGACAAGAUGGGCUAUAAGCUUCGGGACCUCAAAAACUUCCUCGCCGAUGCCGAUAGAAGGAAUAUCACCGACGAGACCGUCCAAGAGUGGGUGGGGCAGCUCAAGCGUGCCAUGUACGAAGCUACUGACAUCCUCGACCUCUGCCAGCUCAAAGCCAUGGAACGUGUAUCAUCCUCCGUAGAUGCAGGUUGUUUCAAUCCCUUGCUCUUUUGUAUGCGGAACCCCUUCCAUGCUCAUGAAAUCGGCACCCGCAUCAAGGCACUCAACCACAGGCUCGACACUAUCAAGGAGCGGAGCGCUGCUUUCGACUUCAUUAAUCUCUGGUCCUACGAGGAUCAUAGCAUCAAGGUGCAUGCCUCUCUUCAUGGUAAUCCUAGCCGUGAGACGUCAGGGGAGCUCGAUCGGUCAGGUCUGGUUGGGGAGAAAAUCGAAGAAGACACAAGAGCACUGGUGGCCCAAAUCUUCCAAACAACGAAGGAGGUCAACAACAACAUCAUGGUGUUCGCCAUUGUAGGCGUUGGCGGGAUUGGCAAGACCACCCUUGCACAAAAGGUCUUCAACGACGAGGCCAUCCAAAGUGAGUUCAGCAAAAAGAUAUGGUUGAGCGUCAAUCAAAACUUCAGUGAGUCCGAGCUGCUGAGAAGAGCCAUCAUCGAAGCCGGAGGAGACCACCACCCAACUGGAGAUGCAAAGGCCACGCUUCAGCGAACCCUCAAAGACGCCUUGAUUGACCACAAGACCUUACUUGUAAUGGAUGAUGUGUGGAACCAUGGAACAUGGGAGGGAGUGCUCAAAAUACCCUUAGUUAAUGCUGUUGCUUCAGGCAGCCGAGUCCUCAUCACCACUAGAGAUGAAGGUGUCGCCCGAGGGAUGACAGCCACACGGCCCUACCACCACAUCGACACAUUAGCGCCUGACGACGCUUGGUCAUUGCUCAAGAAGCAGGUACUCUCAAGUGAGAUAGAUGAAGACCACAUCAAUAAGCUGAAGGAUGUCGGAUUGAAAAUUAUACAAAAAUGUGGUGGUUUACCACUUGCCAUCAAAGUAAUGGGAGGGCUCCUGCGUAGAAGGGGUGAGCUACGUCAUGACUGGGAGCAUGUUUUGGAUGAUUCUAAAUGGUCAAUAACUGGAAUGCCCCAAGAGCUCAACUAUGCAUUAUACUUGAGCUAUGAAGAUAUGCCUUCUUAUUUGAAGCAGUGCUUUUUAUACUACUCUCUUCUCCCUAAAAGUAGAAAGUUUCAUGUGGAUCAAGUCAUUGCCAUGUGGAUCAGCGAAGGAUUUAUUCAUGGGAGCUCAAAUGAUUUAGAAGAAUAUGGAAGAAAUUACUACAAUGAGUUGAUAUCUAGGAACCUUAUAGAGCCAGAUAAAUCGUAUGUUGGUCAAUCUUAUUGUAGCAUGCAUGAUGUUGUUCGUUCAUUUGCUCAGUAUAUGACUAAAGAUGAAGCACUCAUAGCUCACAACGGAGACACCGAUAUUCUAACUAAACUUCAUUCACAAAAGUUUCUUCGGUUGUCUAUAGAAACCGAUCGACUGCAAUCAGGUCAACUAGACUGGAAAUCAUUACAGGAGCAGAAAUCGGUGAGGACAUUAAUCUCAACUAUUCAGAUCAAGAUGAGGCCCGGUGAUUCAUUGGUUACUUUUUCUAGUCUAAGGACUCUACAUAUAGUAUCUGCAAAUGUGGUUUCAUUGGUUGAAUCAUUGCAUCAGUUGAAGCACCUGAGGUAUUUGAAGCUAGUAACUGAUAUAUUUGUACUUCCAGUGAACAUUGGCAACAUGAAACUAUUACAAUUCCUUGACCUUCGUGGAUGUGAAAAUUUGGCAAAUCUUCCUGAUAGCAUUGUGAAGCUUGGCCAGUUGAGGUUUCUUGGCCUUGCUGACGUAUGUAUGAUACCUAGAGGGUUCCGUGGUCUGACAAGUAUGAGGAGACUACUUGGGUUUCAAGCCCACAUGGAUGGUGAUUGGUGUAGUUUGGAUGAGUUGGGGCCUCUUUCCCGACUCAGAAUAAUUGAAUUAAUUCAAUUGGAGAAUGUAUCUUUAGCUUCGUUUGCUGCUAAUGCUAGGCUUGGUGAGAAAAUGCAUCUUACCAACCUAUUCUUGUCCUGCACCAGCAGGCUGGGAGAUGAUGGGUUGGUCAAAGAGAAAGAAGGUGUCUCUGCUGAAGAGCAGAAAAGAAUCCAGAAGGUGUUCGAUGAGCUCUGCCCUCCGCCCAGUAUAGAAAAUCUUCGUAUCCCCGGGUAUUUUGGCCAGCAACUGCCGAGUUGGAUGAUGUCGAGGUCAAGGGUGCCCCUCAACAACUUGAAGUUUCUAUCAUUUUAUGACCUGGCUUGUUGUACCCAACUUCCCAGUGGGUUGUGUCAGCUCCCCUGCCUGCAGUUGCUUCAGGUCGACCGUGCUCCAUGCAUCAGACGUGUUGGAACCGGAUUCUUGCAGGCAGAGUCGACUCCAUUUCCGAGGUUAACCGAGAUGAGCUUAGAAGGAAUGGUGGAAUGGGAGGAGUGGGAGUGGGAGGAGCAUGUAGAAGCCAUGCCCCGUUUGGAGAAGCUUUGGCUCAUUAAUUGCAAACUGAGGCGUGCUCCUCCUGGCCUUGCCUCCAACGCACAUGCUUUGAAGGAAUUAUUUGUAGAAGACGUCCAACACCUCAACUGCCUUGAGGGCUUUUCUUCUGUUGUUGAGCUUACAGUGUGUGGAAGCCCUGAUCUGGAGAGGAUAACCAAUCUGCCCAAUAUGCAGAAGCUCACAAUCACCGAUUGCCCAAAGUUGAAGGUGCUAGAGAGUAUCCCUGUACUUGAGAGAUUGGUCCUGGAGGAUUACGUCAUGGAAGAACUCCCAGAAUACAUGCGAUAUAUAAAGCUAAGGCAUUUGCAGCUGCUCUGCAGAAUAUGGUUGCUAUCUUCUAUAGCCGCAGGACAAUCUGGUCUUGAGUGGGACAAGUUCAGCCAUGUGGAGCAUGUCCAGGCAUAUACGCCUGACGGAGACAACCAAAGAAAAUGGUAUGUGUUAUACACGAGGGGAGACAACUUCAAGUUGGAUUCAAAUAUUAGCAGCUCCAUGAUAUUUUCAGAUAGAUUAUCAUCUUUUAUGGUGGACACAGAAGGAUUCGUGGCUGUGUACAAAAUGAGAAGAAGUACCUUCAGUCACGUCUGCAGCUUGGUGAGGAUCCCAGUUUUUGAAUAUAUGAUGCCUUGGGAUCACACCUUUAUUGAUGGGAGAGUGCUAUCUUUACAAGAUGGAGUGGCCAUUGCUUUGAGGAUGCUGAACUCUGGUGAGUCACCGGUUACUGUAGGAUCCUCCCUUGGUGUGAACGAGUCAACUGUAUUGAUGGUAACUCGGAUAUUUGUUGAGGCUUUGUGGGAGCGAGCAUACCACCAAUUCAACUAUCCUGGCUCUGCUAAAAUGGAGAAGAUCAAGCGCAAGUUUGGCAAGAUCCAUGGCCUGCAGAACUGCUGCGGUGUUGUACGUACAGCCCACAUCACAUUUGGAUCACAAAACUGUGACCAUGAGGAGAAUGACGGCUUGCUAAUGCAAGCCGUCGUUGAUCCAGAUAUGAGGUUUACAAACAUUUGGUUGGGACUGCCUGGUAGCAUGAACCAAUCAAGCCUUCUGCAUGACUCUGGACUCUUCAUGUCCUGUGAGGAGGGUACUUGGCUGAAUGGUAGCAAGUUGAAUUUAUCAGAUGGAUGGCAAGUUGGAGAAUACAUAAUUGGUGAUGCAGGAUACCCUCUUCUCCCCUGGCUCCUCACACCUUACCACCUGGAAGACAAGGACUCCUCUGCAGAUUUCCCUCCUUAUCAAGCCGAGUUCAACAGGAGACACUCUGCAGCUACAGAUGUUAUGUUGGCCGCGCUCACAAGGUUGAAAGACACUUGGAAGGUCCUAGACAGAGAGAUGUGGCGCUCGGCCAGUUCGUGUCGGCUUCCUCAAAUUAUCUAUGCAUGCUGCAUUUUGCAUAACAUUGUGAUAGACUUGGAGGAAGAGGCCGCAGAUAUGCAUAGCAAUCAGGAGAAUUACACUGAGCAAGUGCGACAGGUGGCAGAGGAGGAUGCUGCCAGGGUGAGGGAUAUACUGUCCCAGCACUUGAUCGAAUCUGGAGUCCACACAAUGGCUGCAGAGGGGAAGCAGGAAAUAGUAGCAGUUGCAUCCUGUUCAGGAAAUAAAAACAAGGAAACAAGGAGCACGCUGACGACAGACAUCAGAUCGAGAAAAGGAGAAAGUGCACGAUAUAGCUAG
rnacentral:rRNA from 1 species